GUUGAAGGCUCUUGAACUUGUGUCAGAUAUAUGUGGUUCCACGGAAGAAACUGCAGCGUGUGCAAGCUGCCAGGAAAAAAACAAAAGGAUAGAUGACCUCGAAUAUGCAAAUUCUAGGCUUUCAAAAAAACUUCGAAAAGCAAAGGAAAAGUGUGAAAUGACCAAGAUGAUGGGGAAAAUGGAAGACAUAAUAGCAGCAGCAUCAU